GACGAACGCUGGCGGCGUGCUUAACACAUGCAAGUCGAACGGAAAGGCCUCUUUCGGGGGGUUCUCGAGUGGCGAACGGGUGAGUAACACGUGAGUAACCUGCCCUUGACUUUGGGAUAACUUCAGGAAACUGGGGCUAAUACCGGAUAGGAGCUCCUGCUGCAUGGUGGGGGUUGGACAGUUUCGGCGGUUGGGGAUGGACUCGCGGCCUAUCAGCUUGUUGGUGGGGUAGUGGCUUACCAAGGCUUUGACGGGUAGCCGGCCUGGGCAGGUGACCGGCCACAUUGGGACUGAGAUACGGCCCAGACUCCUACGGGAGGCAGCAGUGGGGAAUAUUGCACAAUGGGUGGAAGCCUGAUGCAGCAACGCCGUGUGCGGGAUGACGGCCUUCGGGUUGUAAACCGCUUUCGCUCAUGACGAAGCUUUGUGUGACGGUAGUGGGUAAAGAAGCACCGGCUAACUACGUG
rnacentral:rRNA from 1 species